rnacentral:ncRNA from 1 species
AUCCUGUCCAGCUACACCUAUAGCGAUAUAGGGUCGGAAAGCCACGGAUCUCCUUGAGAUGGCCGGGUUGCUAAG